UUCAGAUUAAUGCCAAGAAAAUAUAUGCAGAAGAGACACCCAUGUCAUUGAACAAGAGGUUCUAAUAUUACAUAACAGGGUAGUGGUAUGUAGCUGUAGUGGUAUGUGCUCUCUCUCAAUGCUGAGCUGCAGCUCCCAGUCAGCCACUGGAUCAUGAGGGUAAAAUACGGAUACUUGACAUCUUCUUAAAGAACAUCAUGCCUGCUAAGCCAUCCAGUUUGGAUGCCCCAGUGCCUUCCACCAGCCAUUCUCAAGCCUCAUUAGAAGAGAGAGAUUGAUGACCCUGUAGCUGCAGCAUCCCAUCAUCCUGCAUUCUAGUUCAAUGCUUCAAACGUUCUUCAGGCCCAGUGUGCUUUCAGCUGUGUAUGUUAAUGGGAGAGUGAGCAAGUUUCGUCCUUGUGCCUGCAUCUGCUGGGAAACGAUAAGAGCCCAACAUAUGUUAGAAGCAACAAUCGCA
rnacentral:lncRNA from 1 species